UGGGGAAUCUUCCGCAAUGGACGAAAGUCUGACGGAGCGACGCCGCGUGAGUGAUGAAGGCCCUUGGGUCGUAAAGCUCUGUCAUCAGGGACGAACGGUCACGUCAGGAAAUGGGCGUGAAUUGACGGUACCUGAGAAGGAAGCCACGGCUAACUACGUGCCAGCAGCCGCGGUAAUACGUAGGUGGCGAGCGUUGUCCGGAAUUAUUGGGCGUAAAGCGCGCGCAGGUGGGAUCUUAAGUCUGUUCUGAAAGUUCGGAGCUUAACUCCGUGAUGGGAUGGAAACUGGGAUUCUUGAGUAUCGGAGAGGAAAGCGGAAUUCCCCGUGUAGCGGUGAAAUGCGUAGAUAUGGGGAGGAACACCAGUGGCGAAGGCGGCUUUCUGGACGAUGUCUGACACUGAGGCGCGAAAGCCAGGGGAGCGAACGG
rnacentral:rRNA from 1 species